rnacentral:other from 2 species
ACGGUUAUAAAUCAACAUAUUGAUUUAUAAGCAUGGAAAUCCCCUGAGUGAAACAACGAAUUGCUGUGUGUAGUCUUUGCCCAUCUCCCUCGAUGGGCUUUUUUUUAA